UCAUAGAGAUCAUCAAUGCUCUGCUUGCUUUGAUGUACCAUUAAGAAGACGAUCUUUCCUCUAACAGCCCCAUACAACUGAGCAGCGCCACCACGUCAUACCGGACAGAAGGAAGGCCCUGUGAGUCUAUGAAGCGGCAAAAUGAGUAAACUGAUUGGCUGAAGACAGAACUAAUCAUCCUACUGGUAUCUAACUCCAGGGCCUACGUUAAUAGCAUAUAUUUCCAUCUGUGUUUAAUAUGCCUCAGAGGCUGAGUAGAGGCAGAUCUUGCUUGGAGAGGCACCAUCUGCCUACAGGGAUUAGAUCCGAGCCACAUUACCCAUAUAUGCUCAGAAUGGUCUGUCAGGAACACCCUUGUUAAUAGUUUAGCUGAUACUGUUUCUCUAAGGUGGAAGUAAAAAUUACUAAAUGAAAGAGCAAA
ensembl:lncRNA RNF157-AS1 RNF157 antisense RNA 1